rnacentral:rRNA from 1 species
CCUACGGGGGGCUGCAGUAGGGAAUCUUCCACAAUGGACGAAAGUCUGAUGGAGCAACGCCGCGUGAGUGAUGAAGGCUUUCGGAUCGUAAAACUCUGUUGUAAGGGAAGAACAAGUACGAGAGGUAAUGCUCGUACCUUGACGGUACCUUGCGAGAAAGCCACGGCUAACUACGUGCCAGCAGCCGCGGUAAUACGUAGGUGGCAAGCGUUGUCCGGAAUUAUUGGGCGUAAAGCGCGCGCAGGCGGCCUUUUAAGUCUGAUGUGAAAGCCCCCGGCUCAACCGGGGAGGGUCAUUGGAAACUGGAAGGCUUGAGUACAGAAGAGAGGAGUGGAAUUCCAUGCGUAGCGGUGAAAUGCGUAGAGAUGUGGAGGAACGCCAGUGGCGAAGGCGACUCUUUGGUCUGUAACUGACGCUGAGGCGCGAAAGCGUGGGGAGCAAACAGGAUUAGAUACCCCUGUAGUC